rnacentral:rRNA from 1 species
UACGGAGGGUGCGAGCGUUGUCCGGAAUCAUUGGGCGUAAAGCGCGCGUAGGUGGCUCCAUAAGUCCGUUGUGAAAGUCAAAGGCUCAACCUUUGAAAGCCGAUGGAUACUGUGGAGCUAGAGUACGGGAAGAGGCGAGUGGAAUUCCUGGUGUAGCGGUGGAAUGCGCAGAUAUCAGGAGGAACACCAAUAGCGAAGGCAGCUCGCUGGGACGUUACUGACACUGAGGCGCGAAAGCUAGGGGGAGCGAACGGG